rnacentral:rRNA from 1 species
UCGGGAAUUUUGGGCAAUGGGCGAAAGCCUGACCCAGCAACGCCGCGUGAAGGAUGAAGUAUUUCGGUAUGUAAACUUCGAAAGAAUAGGAAGAAUAAAUGACGGUACUAUUUAUAAGGUCCGGCUAACUACGUGCCAGCAGCCGCGGUAAUACGUAGGGACCAAGCGUUGUUCGGAUUUACUGGGCGUAAAGGGCGCGUAGGCGGCUUGACAAGUCACUUGUGAAAUCUCUGGGCUUAACCCAGAACGGCCAAGUGAAACUGUCAUGCUAGAGUGCAGAAGGGGCAAUCGGAAUUCUUGGUGUAGCGGUGAAAUGCGUAGAUAUCAAGAGGAACACCUGAGGUGAAGACGGGUUGCUGGGCUGACACUGACGCUGAGGCGCGAAAGCCAGGGGAGCAAACGGGAUUAGAUACCCUUGUAGUCCCUGAGCGGGCUGGCAAGGCG